ensembl:snoRNA Snord35a small nucleolar RNA, C/D box 35A
GGCACAUGAUGUUCUUAUUCUCACGAUGGUCUUCGGAUGCCACAGUUAGGGCAGUGCCGAUAAUGCCAAAGGCUAAGCUGAUGCCAGGAG